AUUAGCUUCAACUUCAGUCACUUUGUGUGCAAUUCCUUUGAAACCUUGUUGUAUGGUGGCCUGUUUAUAGCUGAAUUCUUAAUGGGCCUCAUCAGUUCAUGCAAUCAUCGGAAGCCACUCCUGUUCAUCCCAAUCCAGUCUGCUAAAUUUCAAAGAAUGGUACAUUCUUAAAGCAAUGCUGGGGAGAGAGUUUAUCAUUCACCUGAAUCAAAA